rnacentral:snRNA from 1 species
AGCUUUGAGCAGUGGCAGUAUCGUAGCCAAUGAGGUUUAUCCAAGGCACGAUUAUUGCUAAUUGAAAGAGCAGAAAUUUCAUUCUCUACAGCUCUUGAAUGUAAUCAUAGCUUUCCAAAGC